AACGAACGCUGGCGGCAGGCUUAACACAUGCAAGUCGAACGCAUCCUUCGGGGUGAGUGGCAGACGGGUGAGUAACGCGUGGGAACGUGCCCUUCAGUUCGGGAUAACCCCGGGAAACUUGGGCUAAUACCGGAUACGUGCGAGAGCAGAAAGAAUUAUCGCUGAAGGAUCGGCCCGCGUCUGAUUGGCCAGUUGGGGGGGUAAUGGCCCACAAAGGCGACGAUCAGUAGCUGGUCUGAGAGGAUGAUCAGCCACAUUGGGACUGAGACACGGCCCAAACUACUACGGGAGGCAGCAGUGGGGAAUAUUGGACAAUGGGCGCAAGCCUGAUCCAGCCAUGCCGCGUGAGUGAGGAAGGCCUUAGGGUUGUAAAGCUCUUUCGUCCGAGACGAUAAUGACGGUACCGGAAGAAGAAGCCCCGGCUAACUUCGUGCCAGCCGCCGCUGUAA
rnacentral:rRNA from 1 species